CAUUAGGGUGGCCCUCGUCCAGUCUGACUGGUGUCCUUCUAAGAGGAAAUUUGGUCACACAGAGACACCAGAGACGCACGAGCCCGGGGGGAAGACUCCGCACACAAGGACCGAGGCUUCCGAAGAAACCAACCCUGCAGACACCUUGAUCUUGGACUUCCAGCCUUCAGACGUGGGACAAAAUAAGUUUCUGCUGCCUAAGGGGGCAGCCCGUGCAGACACCAGGCAUCUGUGAUUCUCUUGGACCCUCACCUGGUGGCCGCCCCCAGGGGCCGGCUGUCCCAGAGACUGUCAAGGUGCACCGUGGGAGGCACGCUGGAGAUCACAGGUAAGUGGAGGAGCAAGUGGGGUGUGUGUGUUUCCCCAGUUCCCUCCAUGCAGUUGCUGGAGUUGUCCAGGUUCCUCUACAAAGGCCAC
rnacentral:lncRNA from 12 species